AUUGAACGCUGGCGGCAGGCCUAACACAUGCAAGUCGAGCGGAUCGGCGGACGGGUGAGUAAUGUCUGGGAAACUGCCUGAUGGAGGGGGAUAACUACUGGAACCGGUAGCUAAUACCGCAUACUCUCAGAUGAGCCUAGGGCGGAUUAGCUAGUUGGUGGGGUAACGUCCUACCAAGGCGACGCUCCGUAACUGGUCUGAGAGGAUGAUCAGUCACACUGUAACUGAGACACGGUCCAGACUCUUACGGGAGGCAGCAGUGGGGAAUAUUGGACAAGGGGCGAAAGCCUGAUCCAGCCAGGCCGCGUGUGUGAAGGAGGUCUUCGGAUUGUAAAGCACUUUAAGUUGGGAGGCGUUACCAACAGAAUAAGCACCGGCUAACUUCGUGCCAGCAGCCGCGGUAAUAC
rnacentral:rRNA from 1 species